CUCAACAUAGUGGGAUUGUUUGAGAUAGCGCAUGUGCCUUUCGGUGGUGUUCAGAUCUAUGGCAUGGAGUUGGAGCCGUAUUUGUUCUAAUUGUUUCUGGGUAUGUUUUCUGGGUUUUUGCUUAUGGGAGGCUUCUAAAGUUGUGAGUUUCGAUAUUAGGUCAGUUUUCUGCAAGCAUGUUCGUCGUUUGUUUCUAGCUCCCAUUUGAAUGAGUGUCCCUCUUAUU